UGAACCUGGGACGUGGAGUUUGCAGUGAGCCAAGAUCACGCCAUUGCACUUAAGCCUGGGCAACAAAAGCGAAACUCUGCCUCAAAAAAAUAAAUAAAUAAAUAGAAAGGUUGAGUCUGUGGCAUUGAAAACCUUUGGGAACCAUACCUUAAUUGUAACUCCCACAGUAACUGCCCUGCACUUAAUAAAAAGUAGUAACGGGCAGAUUCAUUCAGUAAACUAUUGAGCCAAAGUUGAAAGUACAAUUUCUUCAGAGGCCUCACCUCUAAUUGAGACACAGAUAAUUACAUAUUGUUCAUACACACACACACACACACACACACACUAUGAUGGAUAAAUGCACCAGUUGCUGUGAGAGCAUUGGAAAGGAGUUUGUCACUUAAUAGGUGAAGCCAGGCUAAGAUUUAAGCUGAACCAGGGAAGACUUGAAGAAAUCGUGAUGAGAGAGGAGGUAAGUGGCUUUGCCAGCAAUGAAACAGCUGACAUAAGGGUAACCAGUCAGAGGAGGGCAUAGCUAUGAAACUGCAGACACCCUGGUUGUCAGAUUAGAAGAAGGUGGAUGUAGGGUUGGUAAGAAAAGAAUUGAGGGAAAAGCAGCAAUCAGAUUAUGAAGCAUUUGUCUUGACAAAUUAUGGAGGAUUUAAAGCAGAAUGUUAGGAAUAGUUGUUUAGCAAGAUGAAUGUGGAAAGUGUUAGUGUGCAUGUGAUGAGUCUUGAAGCUGCAAACUAGGUAACAGGUUCUUAAAUAGUUCAUGUGAAAAUCAUGACUCAGACUAAGGCAGUGGCUGUGGGGCUGUUGGGGAGUUCUCUCCUCUAAAACUUGAAUGCAAGUGAGUAGCUAACUUCCAAGCUCCUCUUUCUGUAUGAUUUUCUGCAUCUCAUAAGGUGUGUGAGGAUUACAUGAGAUCAUAUAUGUAACAACAGCAUUGUGUCUAAUACAGCAAGCCUCAAAAAUAACAGGGAGACAGGUGUUUUGGGAUGCCUUAGGUUUCUGGACAAAAGCAAGGGAGGAGGUGGUUGCUCCAUUGAGAUGAUAGGAUGAUAAGGAAUAUAGAAAAGAGGUAAUAAGGGGAAAAUAGUAAAGUUGGGUUUUAUUGACAUGCCUGUGGGGACACCAGGAGGGAGGGAAGUGUUUAGGAAGCAGUUGAGUUGGAAAGUCAGGACUGGAUAUCUACAUUUGGAAGUAACAAUUGUGAAUGGAAACUGAUUUUAAGAGUUAGAAUGGUAAAAAUAUAAGCAUGGAAAUGAGGUAAUAAUGAGAUUUGAUAGGCAUUUAGACAUCAGAGUAAGCAAGAGAACUUGAGUUCAUCAAUGAACUUCAGUAACUAUCCUUGAUUUAGUAUUGAUGGAAACCAUUUGUAAAUUUACAGACUCCAAAAACAAAAGAUAAUUUAGAGGCUCAAAGUAAGAUGUGGGGAGUUGUCCAUUGGAGACAGAAGUAGAGAGAGGGAGAAGUUCAUUUGUUCACAUAUGUAUGUGUGGUGCACCUACUGUGUGCCAAGCCAUGUUAGAGAGACAGUGGGAGCAAAACCAGAUGUGGUUCCUGCCCUCUUAAAGUUGACAGUUGACUUAAGUGGUUGCAGAAUUAGCUCGGGGAACUAGAAUUGGACGUAGUCACACAAACCAAGAAAGGAGAUUGUUUGAGAGGGGCAAUCGGUCACAUGUGGCUGAGGCCAAAGAGAAUGAAGAUAUAUUUUAAAAUUCUGGAUUUGGCAAAAUUUAGGCUAGUGUUUACUUUUCAUAAACCUCUCUCAUGUUAGAGCAUCAAAGAAAAACCAGUUUGCCAAGAGGUCGGGAGACUGGGCAGUGAGGAAUGGGGAGCUUAGUUUAAAGACAACACUAGACACUCGGAAGUUUACCUAUUCUGUGGUUCCCUUUUAUUUUUACUGACUAAAUGGUGCCCUUCAUUCAUGAAGCAAAUACCUAUUUAGUGACCACUAUGUGUCAAAAGCUAUUCUAUGCCCAGAAACUUUUAAGUGGAAAACAAGACAAAGACCCUGCUCUGACAUUUCAAUCAUGUAUGCAUGUACUAUAUGUAUGUAUGUGGAAGGUGACAUAAUAGGCAGUUACAGAUAGUGAUAAGUGUGUAAAGACAAGGAUACCAUGAGCAUAAUAGACAGUGGGGAUGGAGGAACCUUUAGAAAGGUGGUUAAGAAAGCUGAAUGAUAAGGAGCCAUUCUUUUGUCUUUACCUGAUUGACUUAUUCAGCCCUUUUUGAGUUUUGGGUUGCUUGCAGAGUUUAACCUUGCCUGUAAUUGAAACUUUCCUUUAUAAUGGCAUAACUUCAUGUAACAAAAGGAAACUAAUAUAUUACAGAAUUAUUUUACUGAAGAAUUUGUUUCAGAGAAAGAGGCUAUUUCACAUUUGGAUUAUAUUUAGGUGUUUGUUUGUUUGUUUUUUUAACGAAGAAGUUGGAUCAUAAUACAAGAGAAGCACAGGGUGAAGACUAUGAAUAACCUCAGGAACUAAGAAUGGAAAGACUGGCCAGGCGUGGUGGUGCAUGCCUAUAAUCCCAGCUACUCAGGAGGCUGAGGCAAGAGAAUCACUUGAGCCUAGAGGGGCAGAGAUUGCAGUGAGCUGAGAUAAUGCCAUUGCACUCCAGCCUGGGCAAGAGAGCAAGACUCCAUCUCAAAAAAAAAAAAAGGAAGGACUUAAGCAAAAUCUUCCUUGUAAGAAGAAGGAUGUUUUGACAAGAAAAGUUGCAAUGAAAAAAUGGUUCUCAUGUACAUGAGUAUGUAGAAUAAGCAUCAUGUGUGGAUUGGAUUGAGAUUAAAAGAUUGCUUUUACUUUUGUGUCUUUAUAUGGUGGGAGUAUACUCUGGUGCCCUAGGAUGAAGACUUGACCUGACCCAUACAUUUUUAGAUUACUCACAGAUAACAGAAAAUAUCUUCAUCAUGAUUGGUUGCGAAAACAGUUUUAUUUCAAUAAGUAAUAUGUGCAGUCCUAUGUAAUCAUCAGAACAUAAUCUUAACUCACUUCUUCCAGCUCGGGCCUGCUUUAAACCGCAAGCUGGCAGUGGAGAGGGCAUGAUGCCUCUGAUUUCAGCUUUCUCCUUACACUUUUCUGGAACUGUGAACUGCAAGUUAACUCCUCGGUGGGAUUAAAGUGUAGACUGGAGGUACGAAAGACACAGCAUUUGUAAUGAUGCAGCAUUCAAGGCACCAUCCUGGAAGCAGAAAUGGCCCUCACUAGACACUGAAUCUGCCUAUGCCUUGAGCUUGGACUUCCCAGCCUCCAGAACUGAACCAGGAGCACCACAUCCUCUUGAUACCACAGAGCCUGCCUCCCAGAGCUUGAUUGUUAAUUCUGCUCCUGAAUGCAGAGUGUGGCCCUGAGUGGUAUGCAGUAUUCUUUUCCAGGCUGUUUGUAUUGCUUCUGGAUCCUUUAAUUAUCCAUGUUUUCUAAGUAAGUGCUUUGUCCUUGGAUCCCUUUAUAAACUGGAGAGAUCGCAUCCAUAUUCACUGCUCUACUUCAUCUGCCAUCUGUUCGGUGAUGACAAACGAUCUGUAACACUGGACUGACUUUUAAAAGAAAUUAAUAAGUAUUUUAUUGAUAUAUAAUAUUUCUACAUAUUUGUGGGAUACAUAUGAUAUUUUGUUGCAUGCAUAGAAUAUGUAACGAUCAACUCAGGGUAUUUAGGAUAGCUAGCAUUUUGAGUAUUUAUUAUUUCUAUGUGUUGUAAACAUUUCAGAUGAUCUCUUUAAGCUAUUUUGAAAUAUAUAACACAUUGUUAACCAUUAGACUGCCUUAUCUUUGGACCUAUAGACCUGCAUGACCGGUAUCAUCAUGGAUAUUUUUACCUCUUUACCUGAAUGUCUCUUUGAUUUUUUUUUUUUUUUUUUUUUGAGAUGGAGUGUUGCUCUGUCAC